rnacentral:rRNA from 1 species
CCUACGGGUGGCUGCAGUGAGGAAUAUUGGGCAAUGGAGGAAACUCUGACCCAGCCAUGCCGCGUGAGUGAAGAAGGUUUUCGAAUUGUAAAGCUCUUUCGGUUGUGAAGAUGAUGACGGUAACAUCUAACGACGCCCCGGCCAACUUCGUCCCAGCAGCCGCGGUCAUACGCAGGGGGCAAGCGUUGUUCGGAAUUACUGGGCGUAAAGGGUGUGUAGGCGGGAAAGUAAGAUAGUGGUGAAAUGCCUGAGCUCAACUUGGGAACUGCCAUUAUAACUAUUUUUCUAGAGUGACAGAGAGGAGAUUGGAAUACCCAGUGUAGAGGUGAAAUUCGUAGAGAUGGGGUAGAACACCGGAGGCGAAGGCGGGUAUCUGGGUGUCAACUGACGCUGAGGCACGAAAGCAUGGGGAUCAAACAGGAUUAGAUACCCCAGUAGUC